CGUGUGUGUCGCAGCUUUGAAAAGACGGUUUACCGCGUAACCUUAUAGCCCUCUUUAUUUCCGUUUGAUUGACAAAGAGGAGUCUGUCCAGAUGCGCUAAUUUGAGAUGGAAUCUUCACGGUGGGCUGCUUUAUUCUGGCUUUCCUUGUCGGACGUAGCUGUGGUCUCACUUGUCACACCUGCCAGCACCUGGAGAGUUCACCUGAUUUUUACACCUGCCUACAGAACCCCUCCUCCGUCAGUACCGAGACAUGUGCAGCAGGCGAGGACACCUGCCAGGCCACGUUCCUGAAAUUAAGCUGGAUAUACUACGUCAUCAGAGGAUGUGCGACCAUCGCGGAUUGCAGCACAGCACUGGCGAUGGGAA